UUCCCUUCGUAGAAAAUUCUAACUGUUGCAGCUACUUAAUGGAACCAAAACACAAAAGACAGGUCACUCACAAUACAUACAUUGUUAUACAAGUUAUUGCAUUGACCGGAAGUAUUAUACUAAAUAUCCUAUUUUACCUUAAAACUAAUAUUGCACAUUAACAUGUUUUCAACAGAAAAACAUGGCUCAAUAUCAGUCAGGCCUAAGAAUAUUGCUAUAAUACUUAUUACUAUGACUUUCCCUAUGGUCUAUUUUAUUGCACGUAGUUGGUAUUGCACAAAAAAUCCUAAUCUCGGUUCUAAAUGAUCCUAUUUUUUAAGAUUGGGCGCCAUCUGUUACAUUCCCCAAUGUGGCGGAGCUAGAAUGAACCAUCCGACUUGCUCGCGGGCUCAGGGUCUCGGUUCUCAACCAUCCAUGUCUAACACCUCAGGGCGAACAUAUUUAUUUAUUUUUUUUUAAAUGAGAACAAGAAGCGACACAAAAAAAUUUACAAGCAAACGGGAAUAUUGAUGUCUUUAUUCCCACAACAGGCAAGGCCUGGAUGAAAGGAAAUUGAGGAAGAAGCUAGUUAAUAACAAGGCCGAAUGGUGGAGGGCCCUUCAAGCAGUUCAUUUUAAGCGACACGGAGGAAGCAGCAUCGCGCUUGUUACAAUCAGAGACAAUUGUAAAUGCAGGGAACCAAGCAAUUGGAAUUCAACAGCGUCCAACACUUGGUGAACUAGAGAUUGAGGAGGAACUGUUUGAACGGUUUGAAAUUAGUGAAGACAAAGAAAACCACAAUCCCUGCACACUGACUCCUCCAAGCGUAAACAGACUACACCGAAAUACGCAACAGAAGCAGGUUGUUGAUAUCCAGGAUGUCUGUACACAAAUAAACCGCAUCAAAAUGAACUUAAGGAAGGGCUUCCAACGACUUAUUCAAAAACUGACCUCAAAUAUGAACUUCUUGAAGAGCAGCUGAAGGUGCAAGCAGAAUUAUACAGUGAUGUUAAACGAUCAUUAAAUGAUAUUGAGAGGUAACAACGCAAAAACUUCAAACUGAAUGAAGAGUUGUUAAAACAAAGAAAAAUUAGUUAUAAGUUAAAGGAAGAAAAAUUAAAACUUCUUAAAGAAGAAUAUAAAAAUAAGUCGGAUUUCAAAAAGGAGUUAUUGUGAUGUAGGAAAGAUGAAACUAAAAGGAGGCGUCUGCAAUUAGAAGAAAUAAGGAGUGGAUUUCAGUGAAACCACUCAUGUUAAUAACAUGAAGCAUAGCUUUUAUAUUUUAAUUUUAAAAAUUAAUUUUAUAAUUUUAAUAAUAAAAUUAAUUAAAUAUUUAAAGAUAGCAUUAUUGAUGUUCUUAUGUCUAAUGCGUUCACACGACGUUGCGUUAACUAUCGGCAUUUCAAUUUUGAAAUGUAUGCAAAUAUUGUGUAAUUCUGCACAAAUUGCUGUUACUAUUCCACACAUAUCAGGGGUGUAAUGCAAUUGUCUCGCUCCUAAUAUACAACGAAAUAAUGCAAUUGCCUCGCUCCUAAUACACAACGAAAUCUGUUCUUCAACAUCCCGUUCAACUAUAUUUCUUGUUUUUGAAUGUCAAGUCAUCACUAAUUUUAUUUAAUAUACAGUACGUACCUAAUAUCCAUGUAUUUCUUUCGACAUUUUCAAACUUUUCUUACUUGUGCUGUUUCAAUUCACUUGAAUUCCAAACCAAUGAGAUGUGAUGAUAUAUAUCUAAUUCUUAAUUUGUGAUCACACACCCACAAUAAUAAAGAGAGUAAAGCUAUUUGCAUUAUUUAUAAGUUAUGCAACAUACCAACGUUACGUUAAGACUGUAGAAGCCUUUCCGGUUCAAGUAUUUGAAUCUCUCUUCCAUUUUUGGCGCAACAAUUUUUAUGUGCGUUCCAUCAAUACAUCCAAUCGCUCCAGGAAAUCCAGUAUUUUUCAAAAAAUGUUUCUUAAUUUCAUAUUUUUCUUCUUCUGUGGUGGGAAAAGAGAUCCAAUUUGGACACAGCUUAUCAUGCAAUACUUCUAUGCACUCGCAUUGACAUUGCUGACAGACGACCGUGAUAAACUGACAUUGAAAUCAUUAACAGCACCCUUUUGAUAACUUCCUUCAGCCAGUAUUCGAAUUGUUGCUGCUAGUUUUAGUGUGUUUGGGACAAUUGUAGUUUUAACCCGGUUACGAAGGUCUGGAGUGAUUUGAACCAAAACAUAUUUAAAUGCAUACUUACUUAGCCGGAAGUAACUAACAAAUCUAGAGAAAAAUAUUUAUUUUAGCUUCUUCCCCAUUUUACUUUUUACUUACUGAGAAUCAGUCAUGGAAAAUAUGUGAGACUCCUGCCGCAAUAUUUUUCGCCUCACGUUUAAAUCAUUUUAAAUAUAUACUCAUCUUCAUCCUCGGAUAAAAAAUUGCCAGCACUUAACAUAUUUCAAUAUUUAAUUAACCAAAUAACCGUUUUACUUUAACUAUUUCAACUGACGCUUUUAUUUCUUUUAAUCAGGUAGCUCGUGAAUUCUAAAAAUGUUUAUUAUUCCAGAGCACCCUGCUUUUUUACAUCUAUUACAAAAAAGACGUAGUCGAAAAUUGUACAUAAUACCAAUUUUUUUAGCACGGCCUACGACUACGUCUACGACACUUGAACGCCUACGACAACGCCAACCAUAAUAAGGGUGAUUAUUUUUAAUUUUCCAUCAGGUUUUCUUUUACACCAUAACCAUAGCGGGAAUUCUGCUCUGGCUCUGGUGCGCCGCCAGGAGCGAACCCUAUCCAUAGUAAUAAACGCGAGCAUCUCUUCAUGAAUGGGUGGAGGAGAAGCAGAAUUGUUUUCAUCCCUACGUUACUUUCGAUUGAUCAAACCCUAUUUAACGUUAUGCCAAAAAUAUUUAUUGAUUCAUUGUUUUCUUGUAAUAUUUUCAUGUUUAUUUUCCUGCAGCGACUUUUGGCCAAUUAUUGGUUGGUCAUGAACAUCCACCAUGUCUGUCCACGGAAACACACAAAAGUUUUCCUUAUUUUUUGCCAUUGGACUGGAUUUGCUGCCGUAUGGUUGUUUUACCCACAACAAUUCAUUAUAUUGGGCAAAUGUGACAACAGGAUAAGUACUUCAAUUCAUUUGAUUGAUAUAUCUAAUUAAUGUUUUUGUUUCUCUAUUUAGGUAAAUAUUCCCGGCUUCUGCAAUCUUUAUACUUGGUGUCCAGAUUGGUGCCCAAGUUGCUUUAAAUCAAUAUGUCCUGACAGUGCUGUGUAAUUUGCAGUCUGUUCCUUUCCUAAUGCCCUUUUUAUUUUCAUUUUAGCUCAAUAUUAGUUAUCAUUACGGUGAUACCGCCGUGGUACAACAUUGGGACUUUUACGUAGUUUGAAUCAGACUUUUGCAACUGCAACUUUGGUCUAACUUCGUAGGGCAUGAUGACAUAGUUCCGACCAGGUAUAGGGCCCCCAUAUGGUUAUGUGGUUUUGGUCCAGCUACAUGGCUCAAAAGCUGUAGCCUAAUUAGAAUUCACAACUACCUAACAUUUUCCAAUUUUGCCAUAGUAAGAUAGCUCCUCAGCGGAUGGCCUUACCUUCUUAAAUCUUUUACGUGACAAGUCCCUAAUGACUUACCUUGCAUAUCCUUAACUUCAAACAUAUUGUUUCCCACGGGUUUAACUAUCCUACAUUUUAGAUAUUUCCUGCAAAAUUUUGAGAUGAUGUUCUUUCCAACAUCACUUAAAAUAUGGUUCCGUCUAAAAACCUCCUGUCCAGGUAAAAAUUGUACUGCUCGCGCCGCGUUUGGCACUCCUCUCAUAUGCAUGGUGCAGGUUUUUUGCUAUUCUUUCCCUAAUGACCUCCAACCUUUCCUUCCGACCUAAGUCAUUUAUUGAGUGGUCAUAUAGUGACUUUAAAUUGGUGUACAUUUCGUAUCCGAAAAGAGCGAAAAAGGGUGUUACACCAGUGGCUGUAUGGAUUGAUGAUCUUAAUGCACAUUCAAUUUGUGUUAGGUAAACAUCCCAAUACCUAUGGUCAUCAUCUUAAUAAGCUCGAAUUGCGGCUAGU